UACAGAGGAGCCAAGCGUUGUCCGGAUUGACUGGGCGUAAAGCGCACGCAGGCGGACGCGCGCGUGGGGUGUGAAAUCUGGCCGCUUAACGGCCAGGCGCCAUCCCAUACGGCGCGUCUGGAGCCUUGCAGAGGUCGGUGAAUUGCCGGUGUAGUGGUGAAAUGCGUAGAGAUCCGGAAGAACACCAGUGGCGAAGGCGGCCCGCUGGGCAGUGGCUGACGCUGAGGCGCGACAGCGUGGGGAGCAAACAGG
rnacentral:rRNA from 1 species